GGGGAUUUAGCUCAGAGGCAUAAGUACCUGCCUUUAAAGCAGGCAGUUGUGAGUUCAAUCCUCA
rnacentral:tRNA from 1 species